GACGAACGCUGGCGGCGUGCCUAAUACAUGCAAGUAGAACGCUGAAGGAGGAGCUUGCUUCUCUGGAUGAGUUGCGAACGGGUGAGUAACGCGUAGGUAACCUGCCUGGUAGCGGGGGAUAACUAUUGGAAACGAUAGCUAAUACCGCAUAAUAGCAGUUGUUGCAUGACAACUGUUUGAAAGGUGCAAUUGCACCACUACCAGAUGGACCUGCGUUGUAUUAGCUAGUUGGUGGGGUAACGGCUCACCAAGGCGACGAUACAUAGCCGACCUGAGAGGGUGAUCGGCCACACUGGGACUGAGACACGGCCCAGACUCCUACGGGAGGCAGCAGUAGGGAAUCUUCGGCAAUGGACGGAAGUCUGACCGAGCAACGCCGCGUGAGUGAAGAAGGGUUUCGGAUCGUAAAGCUCUGUUGUAAGAGAAGAACGAGUGUGAGAGUGGAAAGUUCACACUGUGACGGUAUCUCACCAGAAAGGGACGGCUAACUACGUG
rnacentral:rRNA from 1 species